rnacentral:rRNA from 1 species
AGGCUCAGGACGAACGCUGGCGGCGUGCCUAAUACAUGCAAGUCGAGCGGACAGAUGGGAGCUUGCUCCCUGAUGUUAGCGGCGGACGGGUGAGUAACACGUGGGUAACCUGCCUGUAAGACUGGGAUAACUCCGGGAAACCGGGGCUAAUACCGGAUGCUUGUUUGAACCGCAUGGUUCAGACAUAAAAGGUGGCUUCGGCUACCACUUACAGAUGGACCCGCGGCGCAUUAGCUAGUUGGUGAGGUAACGGCUCACCAAGGCGACGAUGCGUAGCCGACCUGAGAGGGUGAUCGGCCACACUGGGACUGAGACACGGCCCAGACUCCUACGGGAGGCAGCAGUAGGGAAUCUUCCGCAAUGGACGAAAGUCUGACGGAGCAACGCCGCGUGAGUGAUGAAGGUUUUCGGAUCGUAAAGCUCUGUUGUUAGGGAAGAACAAGUGCCGUUCAAAUAGGGCGGCACCUUGACGGUACCUAACCAGAAAGCCACGGCUAACUACGUGCCAGCAGCCGCGGUAAUACGUAGGUGGCAAGCGUUGUCCGGAAUUAUUGGGCGUAAAGGGCUCGCAGGCGGUUUCUUAAGUCUGAUGUGAAAGCCCCCGGCUCAACCGGGGAGGGUCAUUGGAAACUGGGGAACUUGAGUGCAGAAGAGGAGAGUGGAAUUCCACGUGUAGCGGUGAAAUGCGUAGAGAUGUGGAGGAACACCAGUGGCGAAGGCGACUCUCUGGUCUGUAACUGACGCUGAGGAGCGAAAGCGUGGGGAGCGAACAGGAUUAGAUACCCUGGUAGUCCACGCCGUAAACGAUGAGUGCUAAGUGUUAGGGGGUUUCCGCCCCUUAGUGCUGCAGCUAACGCAUUAAGCACUCCGCCUGGGGAGUACGGUCGCAAGACUGAAACUCAAAGGAAUUGACGGGGGCCCGCACAAGCGGUGGAGCAUGUGGUUUAAUUCGAAGCAACGCGAAGAACCUUACCAGGUCUUGACAUCCUCUGACAAUCCUAGAGAUAGGACGUCCCCUUCGGGGGCAGAGUGACAGGUGGUGCAUGGUUGUCGUCAGCUCGUGUCGUGAGAUGUUGGGUUAAGUCCCGCAACGAGCGCAACCCUUGAUCUUAGUUGCCAGCAUUCAGUUGGGCACUCUAAGGUGACUGCCGGUGACAAACCGGAGGAAGGUGGGGAUGACGUCAAAUCAUCAUGCCCCUUAUGACCUGGGCUACACACGUGCUACAAUGGGCAGAACAAAGGGCAGCGAAACCGCGAGGUUAAGCCAAUCCCACAAAUCUGUUCUCAGUUCGGAUCGCAGUCUGCAACUCGACUGCGUGAAGCUGGAAUCGCUAGUAAUCGCGGAUCAGCAUGCCGCGGUG